CUCUAAGAGAACUGCCCGUGUAAGCCGGAGGAAGGUGUGGAUGACGUCAAGUCCUCAUGGGMUUACGGGUUGGGCUACACACGUGCUACAAUGGCAGUGACAAUGGGUUAAUCCCCAAAAGCUGUCUCAGUUCGGAUUGGGGUCUGCAACUCGACCCCAUGAAGUCGGAAUCGCUAGUAAUCGCGUAACAGCAUGACGNGGUGAAUACGUUCCCGGGCCUU
rnacentral:rRNA from 1 species